rnacentral:rRNA from 1 species
AUUGAACGCUGGCGGCAGGCCUAACACAUGCAAGUCGAACGAGUGGCGGACGGGUGAGUAAUGUCUGGGAAACUGCCUGAUGGAGGGGGAUAACUACUGGAAACGGUAGCUAAUACCGCAUACCAUCAGAUGUGCCCAGAUGGGAUUAGCUGUUGGGUGGGGUAAUGGCUCACCUAUGCGACGAUCCCUAGCUGGUCUGAGAGGAUGACCAGCCACAAUGGAACUGAGACACGGUCCAGACUCCUACGGGAGGCAGCAGUGGGGAAUAUUGCACAAUGGGCGCAAGCCUGAUGCAGCCAUGCCGCGUGUAUGAAGAAGGCCUUCGGGUUGUAAAGUACUUUCAGCGGGGAGGCGUUACCCGCAGAAGAAGCACCGGCUAACUCCGUGCCAGCCGCCGCGGUAAUAC